rnacentral:rRNA from 1 species
AGCGAACGUUUGCGGCGGGCCUAACACAUGCAAGUCGAACGAGAAGCCCUUCGGGGUGGACAGUGGCGCACGGGUGCGUAACACGUGGAUAACCAACCCUCUAGUUCGGGACAACACUGGGAAACUGGUGCUAAUACCGGAUGAGUCGGGCGAGUCAUCAGGCUUGCCCGAGAAAGGCACGCAAGGGUCGCUAGAGGACGGGUCCGCGUCCCAUCAGCUUGUUGGUGAGGUAAAAGCUCACCAAGGCGAAGACGGGUAGCUGGUCUGAGAGGAUGAUCAGCCACACUGGAACUGAGACACGGUCCAG